GACGAACGCUGGCGGCGUGCUUAACACAUGCAAGUCGAACGAUGAACCCGGAGCUUGCUCCGGUGGAUUAGUGGCGAACGGGUGAGUAACACGUGAGUAACCUGCCCUUGACUCUGGGAUAACUGCGGGAAACUGUAGCUAAUACCGGAUACGACCCUCGGCGGCAUCGCCAGGGGGUGGAAAGAAUUUCGGUCAAGGAUGGACUCGCGGCCUAUCAGGUAGUGGGUGAGGUACCGGCUCACCAAGGCGACGACGGGUAGCCGGUCGGAGAGGAUGGUAAGCCAACCGGGGACUGAGAUACGGCCCCGACUCCUACGGGAGGCAGCAGCUAAGAAUCUUGCGCAAUGGGCGAAAGCCUGACGCAGCAACGCCGCGUGGGGGACGAAGGCUUUCGGGUUGUAAACCCCUUUUGCGAGGGAAGAAGAUCUGACGGUACCUCGCGAAUAAGACACGGCUAACUACGUGCCAGCCGCCGCGGUAA
rnacentral:rRNA from 1 species